CAAUAGUCACAACUCUAAUCCGAAAGUGAAUGGUCCGUUUUAAUCAUGUGAAAGUAAUUAAUUUUGAAAAAUAUAAUUGUUGUAAGGGAUCUUCGUUUAAAACGUCGACUAAAAAGGGAAAGAGAGAGAAAAAGAGAGAGAUUGAUGAAACUGAAAAGUGUCUGGACAAAGUAUUUCCGCACGAUUCACGGUUCUUCUUUCUAGAAUCUAGGUUAGUAAAGGAUAAUUCAUCGAGCAUUGCACCGAACUUCUCUAACUAACCGAGAAACUCGAAGAAAUUAAGUGCGCUAGAUUUAAAGAAUAUAUAACCGUAUUUUACGGUGUUCGGAAUGCUUUUAAUGAAAAUCAACGGUGCAUCGAGGGAAACUGCCACACGAUAAAACGGUACUCCAUUUGUACGAGUAACACGAGCAUGUAUCGUUAAAAUUACGACGCAUUAAGGCGAGGAACGUGCCCGUGAUAAUUUAUAUGCAGUGGAACGAACGUGUCUGGGAUAGAUGUGUGACGAGCACGCGGAAUCAUUCCUCUAGGCUUCACAUGCGCCAACUGAUUAAGGGACAACGAUAAUCGGCCGCGGCAAUUAAACUCUGCCAGAUUCAAAAGAAAUCACGUCUUUGUAAAGCUUCUGUUUGCGCCUCAUUUUCUCGAUUACGGACCAAGAUACAUCACGCGACAAAAGAAUGGAUUAAAACAUCGUGAUCUCGAGUCAAGAGUAUUACUACUUUUGAAUGUGGAAUCAAUCGGUCCAACUUAAAUGAUUCUUCUUAGAAAAUAUAAUGCAAUAUUGAUUAUCUAAAUCACUGUUUUUCAAUUACUAUAGAUAACGACAUCCUAAGAAGAUCGUGAAAUAAUAGUCAUUAGAGUUAUUUUUAUUUGCAAGUAUUUAUAUAGGAUUGUAUUUAUACAGGAAAUUUUGUGAUAAUAAUUUUUAACAUUCAUCAUGUACAGGGUGUUUAUGAAAUCAAGAUAAAAAAAUCAAAAUGAAUUAGAAAAAGAAGAGAACAGAAAAGAAAUUAAAGAUUCGUUAGAAAUAAAAUAUGAUAUUCCUAUUAACACCAAAGAAGGGUGUACCAACAUAAAACGUUUUGUCUCAAAAAACACUAAAGACAUUUGAUCUAAAUAACAAAACAAUUCUACAUUAUCAGCUUUCUUUUCUCGUUUUGUCUCUUAUUAAAUAUUUGUUAUCAAAUAUGAGGCGAUAAAAAGACGAAAAUAAGCUCACUUCGAGACACCCGAUAGAACAAAAGUGUGCAACAGUAGAUGGCAUUCACGGAACAAACAAGGGGGCCCUUUAAUACAAUAUUACUGGCUACAUCUUGUGUCCGUGAACUCGUGGGGUGCGUGAGACACGCUCAUUAUACAGGAUGUCCUAUUGAAAUCGUUAACCUCGGAUACUACGCCCUUUGUUAAUUUAUAUAAUAAAAAAGAGAGGCAUCGAUGUCGAACAAA